CCUGAUGCAGCAACGACCGCGUGAGGUAUGAAGGCCUUUGGGUGUGUGAAGCCUCUGUCCUAGGGGAAGAAAAAAAUGACGGUACCCGAGGAGGAAGCCCCGGCUAACUACGUGCCAGCAGCCGCGGUAAUACGUAGGGGGCAAGCGUUAUCCGGAAUUAUUGGGCGUAAAGAGUGCGUAGGUGGUCUACUAAGCGCGAGGUGAAAGGCAAUGGCUCAACCAUUGUUAGCCUUGUGAACUGGCAGACUUGAGUGCAAGAGAGGAAAGCGGAAUUCCUAGUGUAGCGGUGGAAUGCGCAGAUAUUAGGAGGAACACCGGCGGCGAAGGCGGCUUUCUGGAUUGUAACUGACACUGAGGCACGAAAGCGUGGGUAGCAAACAGGAUUAGAUACCCUGGUAGUCCACGCCGUAAACGAUGAGCACUAGGUGUCGGGACAUGAGUCUCGGUGCCGCAGUUAACGCAAUAAGUGCUCCGCCUGGGGAGUACGCACGCCAGUGUAAAACUCAAAGGAAUUGACGGGGACCGCACAGCAGCGAGCAUGUGGUUUAUUCGAGCACGCGAGAACCUACCAGACUGACUCCUCUGACGUACC
rnacentral:rRNA from 1 species